rnacentral:rRNA from 1 species
GACGAACGCUGGCGGCGUGCUUAGCACAUGCAAGUCGAGCGGAAAGGCCCUUCGGGGUACUCGAGCGGCGAACGGGUGAGUAACACGUGAGUAAUCUGCCCUUGGCUUUGGGAUAACUACCGGAAACGGUGGCUAAUACCGGAUACGACAACCGUCUGCAUGGGCUGGUUGUGGAACGUUUUUUCGGCCAUGGAUGUGCUCGCGGCCUAUCAGCUUGUUGGUGGGGUAAUGGCCUACCAAGGCUUCGACGGGUAGCCGGCCUGAGAGGGUGACCGGCCACACUGGGACUGAGACACGGCCCAGACGCCUACGGGAGGCAGCAGUGGGGAAUAUUGGACAAUGGGCGGAAGCCUGAUCCAGCAACGACGCGGGAGGGAUGACGGCCUUCGGGUUGUAAACCUCUUUCAGUACCGACGAAGCGCCGAUGAUGGUGGUGACGGUAGGUACAGAAGAAGCACCGGCCAACUACGUG